rnacentral:misc_RNA from 1 species
AUGAGACCUCCAUGAGCCCUGUAAAAGACAAAGUGCCCGGAAAUCAACCAAAUAUAAAAAGCUCCGAGAAGCCUCCUACAGUUUCUAGAUCAUCGAUAGGGUACAGUCAUGAGCCUUAUUCUAGGCUAGAGAAUUCUAGGGAACUGUUGUUGUCCCAAGGAUCCUUGAAUACCUUGGAUGUACAGGGCAGAAACCAUCUAGACUCAUCCAGAAACUAUUCAUCCCAACCUGAUUCAUCCACCAGACCAUUUUCAUCCCAACCUGAUUCAACCACCAGACCAUUUUCAUUCCAACCUGAUUCAUCCACUAGACCCUUUACCUCCCAGCCCGAGUCAUCCAAUCGGCCUUUCUCAUCCAAACCGGAGGCAUCCAACCGGCCCUUUUCAUCCCAACCGGAGGCAUCCAACCGUUCCUUCUCCUCCCAUUCGUCUGAUCCUCUGCGAACCUAUUCAAGCUACGGUCCUGAACCCAACCAUAGAACUCAGUAUUCACACAAUUCCUAUUCACAGGAUUUAGAUAACAGAGAAAAUAGAGGAGUAGAUUUUCAGGAUUAUACUCCCCGCUGUAGCCGUCACGCUGCUGCCCUCAGACUUACAGAUACAAAAAUACAGGAACUAGGGUCUAGAGAGGAUACAGUCGAGGUGCCAAUGGUGAACCUAAAUCAUUUCAACUCAAUGCCGACACUUAGAUCCUUUACUGAUUCCUUGGAUAAAGUUCCUCCUCCCUAUCCUCCUCCACCCCCUGUUCACUACAGGAGCAAUGGAAAACUAGGCAAUAAUGAUGCGCAGUGUAGUACGACAGGCCUGUACGGGAUGAGCGGUUUCGCAAACUCUUUCACAAACAUCCAUAAUACCAGGAUGCGAGAUACUUUGUAAAUUGUUCAAUCGGGAAAUAUUUUUCAUAAAAGAUGUAACAGCAGGGUUGAUUCUAAUCCACAUUGUUGCUCCUAUAAUAAUAGUAGUUAUGGAGGUUUUGCAAACAAAUCACAAUAUUUGAG